AUUGAACGCUGGCGGCAGGCUUAACACAUGCAAGUCGAGCGAGCGGCGGACGGGUGAGUAAUGUCUGGGAAACUGCCUGAUGGAGGGGGAUAACUACUGGAAACGGUAGCUAAUACCGCAUACCAUCAGAUGUGCCCAGAUGGGAUUAGCUAGUAGGUGGGGAAAUGGCUCACCUAGGCGACGCUCCCUAGCUGGUCUGAGAGGAUGACCGGCGAAACUGGAACUGAGACACGGUCCAGACUCCGAGGGGAGGCAGCGGUGGGGAUUAUUGCACAAUGGGCGCAAGCCUGAUGCAGCCAUGCCGCGUGUGUGAAGAAGGCCUUCGGGUUGUAAAGAACUUUCAGCGAGGAGGCGUUACUCGCAGAAGAAGCACCGGCUAACUCCGUGCCAGCAGCCGCGUAAUUC
rnacentral:rRNA from 1 species